rnacentral:snoRNA from 1 species
CCAUCGAUGAAGAAAUUGAUCAUCCUUGCUCUGCGAGUGGGGAGGGCGAAGCUUGCGGACGCGUAGAUCAUCGGUUAUCGACGUGCAAUUCCAAUAGCGAGAAGCCGCCUCCGAUGAACAUUAUGGCCUCUGAGAUGG